rnacentral:rRNA from 1 species
AUGGGCGCAAGCCUGAUCCAGCCAUGCCGCGUGAGUGAAGAAGGCCUUCGGGUUGUAAAGCUCUUUCAGACGGAAAGAAAUGGCGCAGGCUAAUACCUUGUGGUUAUGACGGUACCGUCAGAAGAAGCACCGGCUAACUACGUGCCAGCAGCCGCGGUAAUACGUAGGGUGCGAGCGUUAAUCGGAAUUACUGGGCGUAAAGCGUGCGCAGGCGGUUUUGUAAGACAGGUGUGAAAUCCCCGGGCUUAACCUGGGAACUGCAUUUGUGACUGCAUGGCUAGAGUAUGGCAGAGGGGGGUGGAAUUCCACGUGUAGCAGUGAAAUGCGUAGAGAUGUGGAGGAACACCGAUGGCGAAGGCAGCCCCCUGGGCCAAUACUGACGCUCAUGCACGAAAGCGUGGGGAGCAAACAGGAUUAGAUACCCUGGUAGUCCACGCCCUAAACGAUGUCAACUAGGUGUUGGGGGAGGAGACUUCCUUAGUACCGCAGCUAACGCGUGAAGUUGACCGCCUGGGGAGUACGGCCGCAAGAUUG